rnacentral:rRNA from 1 species
AUGAACGCUGGCGGCGUGCCUAAUACAUGCAAGUCGAGCGAACAGACGAGGAGCUUGCUCCUCUGACGUUAGCGGCGGACGGGUGAGUAACACGUGGAUAACCUACCUAUAAGACUGGGAUAACUUCGGGAAACCGGAGCUAAUACCGGAUAAUAUAUUGAACCGCAUGGUUCAAUAGUGAAAGACGGUUUUGCUGUCACUUAUAGAUGGAUCCGCGCCGCAUUAGCUAGUUGGUAAGGUAACGGCUUACCAAGGCGACGAUGCGUAGCCGACCUGAGAGGGUGAUCGGCCACACUGGAACUGAGACACGGUCCAGACUCCUACGGGAGGCAGCAGUAGGGAAACUUCCGCAAUGGGCGAGAGCCUGACGGAGCAACGCCGCGUGAGUGAUGAAGGUCUUCGGAUCGUAAAACUCUGUUAUUAGGGAAGAACAAAUGUGUAAGUAACUAUGCACGUCUUGACGGUACCUAAUCAGAAAGCCACGGCUAACUACGUG